AUCUACGCCAGGCCGGGGGCCGUGAACUUGAGCCCGCGCCGCCGCCUCGUUCCAUCUUCUCCCGAAGAUGACGACUAGGCGGCAGGUCCGACUCCGACUCGCAUUUUUUCACGCAGCGACUCCAGCUCCACCAGCAAAAGUAUUCAACUUUUAGCUAAGUGAUCCCUCCCUCGUCUUGUCUACACCUGCAACUCGGACAAGAUACAGAACUAAACAUGCGACUCAUCCAGGUCUACACCAGCCUCCCCCAGCUCCGUGGGAGUGAAAGUGAACUGGCUGGACAGCAGGGGGUUCUCCAUGCCGUUUUCUUCGCUGAUGUGAAGGACAGUGUCUCCGUGCUGCAGGAGGACGGACGUCUCAAGGCCUGUGAAGUCAUCAGGGUCUGAGAUUUGAGUAGAGAGGGGGCUGUGUGCUGCAGCACCUUGUACUUCUGGGUCCUCCUUCUUUUCUCCUUCUUCAGCAGGGAGGGUCUCACUCUAUGAUCAAACAGACCAUAAUGUCAGGGGAAAGUAGAGUGGGUGCCAGGGAAGAGUACAAAAAAUGUUGUCCAGCUUUAACUGGACAGGAUUGUCAAGGCUAGUCUCAUUUCUAGCCUUUGUUAGAUGUGAGCUUUUCUGGAGGCCCUCCAACUUUCUAAGCCUCAGUUUUCUAACCUGUUGCAUGAGCAUAAUUUUUGCUCUGCUAACCUCGUACACUGUGAGGAUACAUGAGCUCAUGCUGUUACAAUACUUUGUAACCAUUAAAGACUACACAAAUGUAUAUAGUAAUAUUGCCCCUUUGCUUUCUUCAAGUACAUGAGGAGGAAGUUGGACCUGUGGGAAUUCAUUUAUAAAAAUCAAAAGAAGAAAAAAUAUCAUAACAAUGAGGGGAAAGAUCAAAACAAGAAGUUCCUCUCAUCUUACAGGAUGCAGAAGGCUCUCUAUUUAAAGGCUGCAUCUAAAUUGGUAACUUUUUAAAAACAGAACUAUC